rnacentral:rRNA from 1 species
AUUGAACGCUGGCGGCAUGCCUUACACAUGCAAGUCGAACGGCAGCACGGGGCAACCUGGUGGCGAGUGGCGAACGGGUGAGUAAUGCAUCGGAACGUACCUUUCAGUGGGGGAUAACGUAGCGAAAGUUACGCUAAUACCGCAUAUUCUGUGAGCAGGAAAGCAGGGGAUCGGAAGAACGUGCGCUGAUUGAGCGGCCGAUGUCAGAUUGGCUAGUUGGUAGGGUAAAGGCUCACCAGGGCGACGAUCGGUAGCGGGUCUGGGAGGAUGAUCCGCCACACUGGAACUGAGACACGGUCCAGACUCCUACGGGAGGCAGCAGUGGGGAAUUUUGGACAAUGGGGGCAACCCUGAUCCAGCCAUGCCGCGUGAGUGAAGAAGGCCUUCGGGUUGUAAAGCUCUUUCGGCCGGGAAGAAAUCGCACGGGCUAAUACCCUGUGUGGAUGACGGUACCGGAAUAAGAAGCACCGGCUAACUACGUGCCAGCCGCCGCCGUAAGAC